UCAAUUUUAGAAUAAAGCUGUAACGUAACAAAAUGUAGAAAAAUUCAAGGGGUUUGAGUAUGUAUGUUGAAAACAUUGUAUGUUAAAAGCAUUGUGUGUGUAACUAGUUCCACAGCCUGGUUUAGGUAAGAUGCCCAAUUUAUUUUCACAUGAGACAAUUUCACAUAUGAGACAAUUUGAGCAAAUACAUCAUUUUAAGUUGACUGAAUUUUUUGGCUUACAUUUUCUCAAGUUGAAACUAAGCACACUUUUAUUUCAGGUAUUUUUGGGGGUUCAGGUAAUAAAUACAUGAAAAGUUGAGGAAACAGGCUGUGGAACCACUUACCUUAUUAUAAUUACAUUUAAACUAUGAAUUAUAAACAACAAUUUCUCCAUUUAACUGUUCAACUCUUUCUAACUAAAAUAUUCUCAAGGAAGAGAAGAGAGGUUUUGCACUCCCUCCCUCAGCCCAGCCAACCACCUUUUUAGAGUUAAAGGUCUUCUAAAGGGUUUUAAUAGAUGACAAGAGAGAUUAUCCAGGGCAGGUCAUGACCACAUGGUGUGAGAGAGUGGGACCAGACUACAUGGCAGGAACCCAGUGGUGGCCUGGCCGGCCUGAGCCACACACCAUGACAACAUUCCACACAGCCCAGAGAGAUAAGGAAACUAAUAGUUUCGCUCUACGCUCAGAUGCUCAAAUUAUUUCACUUUUUAUGCACUUGCCCUUGGUUCAAAAUUUCUUGUUUCAGUUCAGUGUUCCUGAUAACACUUUCAGUGAACCAUCUGUGUAAUGGUUAUAUAUUCAUUUACAAUAUACUGUCUAGUAUAAUAUAGUAUUACAGUGGAUUUUGGGGCUUUUAUACACACUGUCAUAAGGAACCAUGAAUUCUUAUGACCCUUUUGCAAUAGGUUUCUGUGGUCCUCAUGUCUCAGAUAAAUAUCUUGGCUAUCUUCCUUUAUAAUAGUAUUCCAUUCAUAUUUUCCCUUAGUAGUGUCCUGUGGUUGGCUGGCCACGCCAAGGUACAUGGUCGACUUUUUAUUCAUUCACAUUAUUAGACACACUUUCUGAUAAUAAAAUUAGCGUAAAUCGUAAAAUUCAGAAAAAUGAAAACGGAAUUUGGGAAAAACUAUAACGAAUUUCAUAGGGCUCAACAAAGUGUAUUGUAUACUCCGCUUUUAAUAACCCACCUCAGAUGUUAUACCUACUUGGUACUACUGUAUGUGUUGCCUGUUUCACAGUUUGUUUUGUUCAAAUCACAUGCUUGAGUAUUUCAAAUAAAAGCCAUUGGCAGUGAGUGUCCUGAAAUGACAACCCAAGCGACUUUCAAAAGCCCAUUUAGCGUGACUCAUUUUACGGUGCAUGUGCACUAGAUAGCGGUAAAUUGCAGCGUGUCGCUUAGGCCGCCCAUUGUGACUCGCUUGUGGGCGUGCUGGCAGCAUAUAGCAGCAUGUUCGAUUAUGCGUCAAGAAUACAGCAUAGCAAGUUUGUAUGAAGGUCUGGUUAGUAAAUGGGUACAUGGUUCAAUAGUAAUAUCCUCUAAAACGCACUGGUGACAAACAAACUUUGCUGCCCUGUUUCCAAUUGUCCACAUGGCAGGGAGAACCUAUUCAAGUAAGUAAAUACAUUUCGAAAAUGUAGAAGAAACCUAUGUAUUAUUAGCUAACUAGCUACAGUGCAGGCUAACUCAAAUGAGCUAGCUCACUAUCUAGCCAACUUCACAUACUGUGUAGAUAGGUAGCUGGUGAUAUUUAAUUCAGUUAGCUAGCUAUGUAUCUUGAUGUAUUUAUCACUGUAAAAAAACAAACUCCAACUGCACUUGUAGGUAACGUUAGCUAGCUAACAGCCAUGGAGGAGGGUGAAAGGAUAGGAUAUUUAUGUAUUAACUGUCAAAGUGAGAGAAUAGGCUAUUCAGGAUAGGGCAGGUACUUUUGUGUAGUUCCUGUCCCUAGAAGUGAGGACGGAGAUAAUAGUAACAUAAUAUUCAGUGGGGUGUAAUUUGACUAUAAUGAAGUCUGUUUCUUGUGAGGUUGUCUGUCCUCAGAUAAAGAGCUAUGAAAGCCUACAUGUCUACAUGUGAAGAGCAGUGGUUCUCAAUCCCGGUCCUGGGACUCAAAGGGGUGCCCAUUUUUGUUUUUGCCAUAGCACUACACAGCUGAUUCAAAUGAUCAACUCAUCAAGCUUCAAGUGAUAUUUAUGUAUUAAUUUGUGAUGCUAUCCUUGAUACGAUCCUGUUAUUGCACAUAUGUGUGCUCAUGCAUCUAUCAAUCCAAUGUUAUCAUGAUUUGUUAUCAGGAAUAUUAUAUUUUAGUAAUCCACAAUGACCUGGUGAUGUAAUAGUCUAAUAAUUACAUUGUCUUCCAUAUUCCUACAGAUACCUUGUAACUGGAGAUUCCUUCAAAACGAUUGACUACAGUUAUCGUGUAGGGCACUGCAAGGUUGGGUGACCAGGACCAUUUGGGACUGCCUCCUGGAGGAAUUCAGGUGUGUGAAGGCUACUUGUGUCCUACAUAACUUCAUGGGUAUGGACACGAGGACCAGGAGGGGAUCUGCAGCCGCCGUUGUGUGCCAGAGGAGAAGUCUGCUGCUCUGCAGGAUGUUUCAAGGAUGGGGUCCAACAACACAGCAAGAGAGGCAAUCUGUGUGCGGGAGAUCUGCACCUCCUACAAUUUAGACACCCUAUAACCCACACCUACACACUCAUGUGUAUCAAUCUGAUUGAUGGAUUGGGUUGUGCAGUAAGCAGGCUCAGGUGUAUAAAUGUCUCUUUCCACCUUCAAAGAAUAGGCAAGAGGGCCAACCAUGGAGAAUAGUAAGACAUUUCAUUAUUUCUAGAACUACGAUAUAUUGUUUUGUCCUUGUCUGUUCAUGUUUUUCAGCAUAAAGUAUUCUGCAGCCACUUAGUGUGGUGUGAACACCAGGUGAGGCCACACACACAGAUUCCUGUUGAACACUGUCCCUUUAACUACCUUAUUUUCUCAAUAACAGUCUCUCUCCUUCACUUCAUCCCUCUUCUCCCUAAAUCCUCUAGGUUAUAUCAGCUGUGUCGGUCAACCCCUCCCACAUCUGAACUGGCUACAUAGAGGGCACAGCAUGAUCAGAGUUAUGUUUUGAUGUGAGAGAGGAUGCCAACCCCCAGUCCCAUCAUCGCCACCUCACCUGCUUUUAAGAUAACCUUCGGGCCGACGAGACACUAGUAUGUAAUUGUGAUGAACUGAGAAUAUUUGGGUAGCACUGAUUUAUGAAUCAUAUCCCUGCUCCUAUGUUCUUAUCUCUUUCCCUUUCUGUCUUUUACACCUUUCUCGCCACCUCCUUUCUUCCUCUGUUUUUAUAAUGCACAACAGAUGUGCAUUGAAGUAUAGAUUGAAUUUGCAUUGAUAUUAUAAUUGUAAUAUAUUAUAAAUACAUGUAUUUAUAACACUUGGAUAAUGAACAUAUUUCAAUAAAGUGUUUCACAUUC